CCUUUAUCCAGCUCUGUAGUGCAACUGCUAUUGAGCAAGCCCAGUUUUUUGCUGCCAGCUACGGAAAAAAAGAGGGGCCACUUUGACGGACUGUUUAGAUGGUCCAGCANAGCUUUUUUAUGCCCCUGGAAAGCAGCCUCUGGACAGAGAAAGAGAAAUGAGAGAAUAAUAGGCCCUUAGCAAAGAGAGCAGGAUGAAGCCCUCGUAUCUUCCAGUGUGAGAUCAAGAACAUGACCCAAAUGCAAUAGUAAAUAAACCACAAUCUCAGCUCCCUUCUGAACUGUAAACCAUGGCUCAUUUGAACUACACCUAACAGCAACAAGAACACCAUGGAUUGUUAUUAUUUCAUGAUCACGCAGUCUGUAAACGUUUAUGCCGGGUGUGAUGGUACUCUGACCACCAGAUCCUUCUCAAGGACCUAGGAUAAGAAGAGAAGAAUGUGGGCUGUUCCUAGGAGGGCUGCUUUUGUAGCUGUAGUGCCAAAGUGACGGGUAGUGAUGAGUAGUGACUUUGUCAAUGCCCAAGGUAUUUCUUCUUGUUGUUUUAGUUAUGUGACUAUAGGAGCUUCUGCUACAGAACAUGGUAGUGAACUCUGUAUUUUGAUGAAGUGUUGGAGGUAGAAGAUGUGAGCAGACCUUCUCUGUGGGCAGGUGGAAAGCCGAUUUCUCUCAUCCUUUUCCUAGCGCUCUGGGCAUCAUUCUGCGAGGGCACAGCUGCAGUUGGCAUUUCCCUCCUACGCUCUGGCUGCUCUAGUCGAUCUUCCGCUCCUGUUGCAAAGGUGUAGGACGUGCAUUGCCACUAUCGCAGUCCCCAGGAGCCCGUGUGCCCAUCUCCUUUCCAAGUUGGCAUGCCCACUGUUGCACGACUCACUGACAUUAAAUGAAUCAUGAUGCUGCUAAAUUUANAGAUACCUAAUCAGAAUGGUAUCUNGAAGAACAUCCAGGAAGAAUGGAACAGAAGCUCAUAUGUAAGAAGCGAUCAAGAAAGAAAAUCACCACCAUGUGUAGGAGCCCUGGAAGAAACAGACUGGAAAGCAAACACAAGCAUAUGGUGAAUGACACAAAGAAGCAUUUUCUUUGGCUUACAGAUCAUCAUUAUUANGUUGAUGAUGUCCAAAUACACUCACGGAAUUCUUGGUAUGAAAUUCUCUGACACCCAGGCACAAGAGCUCCUAAACUGUGGUGUAGAAUAAAACAAAUGCUCUCUCAACCCA
rnacentral:lncRNA from 1 species